UACGGAGGGUGCUAGCGUUGUUCGGAUUUACUGGGCGUAAAGGGCGCGUAGGCGGUUUAGAAAGUCAGAUGUGAAAGCCCGGGGCUUAACUCCGGAAGUGCAUUUGAAACUUCUAGGCUAGAGUACAGUAGAGGUUGGUGGAAUUCCCGGUGUAGAGGUGAAAUUCGUAGAUAUUGGGAGGAACACCAGUGGCGAAGGCGGCCAACUGGGCUGUAACUGACGCUGAGGCGCGAAAGCGUGGGGAUCAAACAGG
rnacentral:rRNA from 1 species